rnacentral:rRNA from 1 species
GUGAGUGGCGAACGGGUGAGUAACACGUGGACAACCUGCCUCAAGGCUGGGGAUAACAUUUGGAAACAGAUGCUAAUACCGAAUAAAACUUAGUGUCGCAUGACACAAAGUUAAAAGGCGCUUCGGCGUCACCUAGAGAUGGAUCCGCGGUGCAUUAGUUAGUUGGUGGGGUAAAGGCCUACCAAGACAAUGAUGCAUAGCCGAGUUGAGAGACUGAUCGGCCACAUUGGGACUGAGACACGGCCCAAACUCCUACGGGAGGCUGCAGUAGGGAAUCUUCCACAAUGGGCGAAAGCCUGAUGGAGCAACGCCGCGUGUGUGAUGAAGGCUUUCGGGUCGUAAAGCACUGUUGUAUGGGAAGAACAGCUAGAAUAGGAAAUGAUUUUAGUUUGACGGUACCAUACCAGAAAGGGACGGCUAAAUACGUGCCAGCAGCCGCGGUAAUACGUAUGUCCCGAGCGUUAUCCGGAUUUAUUGGGCGUAAAGCGAGCGCAGACGGUUUAUUAAGUCUGAUGUGAAAGCCCGGAGCUCAACUCCGGAAUGGCAUUGGAAACUGGUUAACUUGAGUGCAGUAGAGGUAAGUGGAACUCCAUGUGUAGCGGUGGAAUGCGUAGAUAUAUGGAAGAACACCAGUGGCGAAGGCGGCUUACUGGACUGCAACUGACGUUGAGGCUCGAAAGUGUGGGUAGCAAACAGGAUUAGAUACCCUGGUAGUCCACACCGUAAACGAUGAACACUAGGUGUUAGGAGGUUUCCGCCUCUUAGUGCCGAAGCUAACGCAUUAAGUGUUCCGCCUGGGGAGUACGACCGCAAGGUUGAAACUCAAAGGAAUUGACGGGGACCCGCACAAGCGGUGGAGCAUGUGGUUUAAUUCGAAGCAACGCGAAGAACCUUACCAGGUCUUGACAUCCUUUGAAGCUUUUAGAGAUAGAAGUGUUCUCUUCGGAGACAAAGUGACAGGUGGUGCAUGGUCGUCGUCAGCUCGUGUCGUGAGAUGUUGGGUUAAGUCCCGCAACGAGCGCAACCCUUAUUGUUAGUUGCCAGCAUUCAGAUGGGCACUCUAGCGAGACUGCCGGUGACAAACCGGAGGAAGGCGGGGACGACGUCAGAUCAUCAUGCCCCUUAUGACCUGGGCUACACACGUGCUACAAUGGCGUAUACAACGAGUUGCCAACCCGCGAGGGUGAGCUAAUCUCUUAAAGUACGUCUCAGUUCGGAUUGUAGUCUGCAACUCGACUA